rnacentral:rRNA from 1 species
UACAGAGGGGGCCAGCGUUAUUCGGAAUUAUUGGGCGUAAAGGGCGCGUAGGCGGCUUUGCGUGUCUUUCGUGAAAUCCCUCGGCUCAACUGAGGACGUGCGGAAGAAACUGCAGGGCUGGAGUCCGGGAGAGGAGGGUGGAAUUCCCAGUGUAGCGGUGAAAUGCGUAGAUAUAGGGAGGAACACCGGUGGCGAAGGCGGCCCUCUGGACCGGUACUGACGCUGAUGCGCGAAAGCGUGGGGAGCGAACGGG